ACAGAGGCUAUGGUUCUGUACACUCAGCUUCUACUUCCUUGAUCCCUGGAUCCCUGCAGGAGAGGAUUACUAUUUCCAGAACAAGUUUGGGGCUUCAGCUAUAGCAUGUGGAAGGCUGCAGAGAGUUUUGGAGUGAUCAAACUACCAGCUGAAUUCAGAAAAUUGAAAUACUCUUCACACCUGAGACUCUAAAGGAAAGCAAGCUCAAGACAAAACUUCAAGCAGGUUCCCCAUGAAUUUCAGUCCUUAUGGGACAUUUCCUCCUCACUCUUCAAAGUCUUACUGCUGCUGUCAAUACCAGCCUGUAGUUCAUGUUGUUGCUAUGUUGAGUUCAGCUCAAAUUUUCUACCUUCUGUUCACACAUCCUUCCCACUGGAUGAUAAUGUAAACCUCAGCCACCUGUAGGUGAGUGUACACACAGCCACACAAGCAGAUUGAGAGAGUGAAGGCAAAUUUGAGAGGGAGGAAGUGAUCAAAGUUGUCAUUAACCAGACCAGCUUCCUGAGUUAUACCACUGAGAGCAAAAAUUACCUUCCAGCCAUUGCAUCUGAAACACUCUCAGGCUUCUAAA